rnacentral:rRNA from 1 species
GAUGAACGCUGGCGGCGUGCCUAAUACAUGCAAGUCGAACGGACAGACGCGGAGCUUGCUCCUCUCACGUUAGCGGCGGAGGGGUGAGUCACACGUGUAUAACCUACCUAUAAGACUGGGAUAACUUCGGGACACCGGCUCUAAUCCCAGAUAAUCUAUUGAACCGCAUGGUUCAAUAGUGAAAGACGGUUUUGCUGUAACUUCUAGAUGGAUCCGCGCUGUAUUAGCUAGUUGGUAAGGUAACGGCCUACCAAGGCGACGAUGCGUAGACGACCUGCGAGGGUGGUCGGCCGCCCUGGAACUGGGACACGGUCCAGACUCCUACGGGAGGCAGCAGUAGGGAAUCGUACGCAAUGGGCGAAAGCUUGACGGAGCAACGCCGCGUGAGUGAUGAAGGUCUUCGGAGCGUAAAACUCUGUUAUUAGGGAAGAACAAAUGUGUAAGUAACUAUGCACGGAGUGACGGUACCUAAUAAGAAAGCCACGGCUAACUACGUG